rnacentral:rRNA from 1 species
UGAGGGAAUAUUUGGGGUCAAUGGACGGGAGUCUGAACCAGCCAAGUAGCGUGCAGGACGACGGCCCUAUGGGUUGUAAACUGCUUUUAUAGGGGGAUAAAGUGUGUCACGUGUGGCAUAUUGCAGGUACCCUAUGAAUAAGGACCGGCUAAUUCCGUGCCAGCAGCCGCGGUAAUACGGAAGGUCCGGGCGUUAUCCGGAUUUAUUGGGUUUAAAGGGAGUGUAGGCCGGAGAUUAAGCGCGUUGUGAAAUGUAGGCGCUCAACGUCUGCACUGCAGCGCGAACUGGUUUCCUUGAGUACGC